rnacentral:rRNA from 15 species
UGGGGAGUACGCCGGCAACGGUGAAACUCAAAGGAAUUGACGGGGGCCCGCACAAGCGGUGGAGUAUGUGGUUUAAUUCGAUGCAACGCGAAGAACCUUACCUGGUCUUGACAUGUCAAGAAGUCUGCAGAGAUGCGGAUGUGCCUUCGGGAACUUGAACACAGGUGCUGCAUGGCUGUCGUCAGCUCGUGUCGUGAGAUGUUGGGUUAAGUCCCGCAACGAGCGCAACCCUCGUUCUAUGUUGCCAGCACGUUAUGGUGGGAACUCAUAGGAGACUGCCGGGGUCAACUCGGAGGAAGGUGGGGAUGACGUCAAAUCAUCAUGCCCCUUAUGUCCAGGGCUUCACGCAUGCUACAAUGGCUGGUACAGAGAGUGGCGAGCCUGUGAGGGUGAGCGAAUCUCGGAAAGCCGGUCUCAGUUCGGAUUGGGGUCUGCAACUCGACCCCAUGAAGUCGGAGUCGCUAGUAAUCGCAGAUCAGCAACGCUGCGGUGAAUACGUUCCCGGGCCUUGUACACACCGCCCGUCACACCACGAGAGUUUGUAACACCCGAAGCCGGUUGGCCAACCUUUUAGGAGGCCGCUGUCGAAGGUGGGAUGGAUGAUUGGGGUGAAGUCGUAACAAGGUAGCCGUACCGGAAGGUGCGGCUGGAUCACCUCCUU